AAGUUCAAGAAGUAGAGAGUUUGUUGUCUGUUCUGACCUUUCUCUUUUUAAGCUUAGACAAAAUAGUUUGGUCCUUUUACCCUUUUUAAUUAGUGUCAUCAGUAGAUAUGUUUUCACAAAUAAUUUUCUUUCUCAACAUUAUUUAACUUUUGUUUGAAAUAUGAAAUCCAUUAUUGUCUGGUUUAUCGCGACACUAAUUUUCUUCAUCAUUUAGCUAUGUAACAGUUUCGUAGUUUGCAUCUAUGUUAUCGUGUUUCUUUUCAUGGUUACUGCUAUUAUUGGUAUAUUCUUUUCAGCAUACAAUGUGAAUUUGACUAUGAAAAUAGAUGAUACGGUAAUAUUGGUUAGACAUCCCUUGUAUUUCUAUCUUCUCAUUGUUACCAUAAGAGGAUCGUGAAGAAUUUCUAAAACGGAAUAAAAAUAACCAAUAAAACUGGUAAAACAUAAAAAGAAGACUGGUGGUCUUCCAGUUCUUCCCCUUCUUGGAUAAGGAUACUCUUUGUAUCCUCCAAGCACUGGUUGGGCAAUAAGCGGACUAUCGGGAUCUCCAAAAUCAUUUCACAUAUCAUACUCAUAAACCCUGUCCCAUUCCUCAAGCUUUACGCUUCCAGUUCCUCUAAAAUGAAGCAACUUGUCCUCUCUGUAGCUGCACAAUGCUGGUGGAGUUUCACUAGGAAGCCAAGCAUAAUUUCUAAGGUUCUUAUAUAGGUAAAGAUCUUAUAAUUUGAUAUUUAAUUUAACAUUGGAUACUUAUGAAAACCACGAGAUCCUGUUCAUAAAAUUGCAGAACAUCUUCAAAGUUCUUUAAUUCAUUAAGAGUGAAAUUUCCUAUAUCAGCAAGCUGAAGAGAAAAGAGUUGUGCCAUAACUUUUUGUGCAUUACUAAGGACGUUUUUCAGCUUCAAGGGCGUAAAUUUUUCAUCGCUUGUGCAAUAACUUGCAAAGCUUGCUAUCUGAGAUAGCCGGCUUUUACACUCUUAGAAUUUUCCAACGCAGUAAAAAAUCAAACAAAACGGAAUAAAAAUCAGCAAUAAAAGUGCUAAAUUAUAAAAAGAGUGAAAGAUUAAUCACCAGUCUUGGAUGGAGGUCUUCCCGUUCUUCCCCUUCUUGGAUAAGGAUACUCGUUGUAUCCUACAAGGAUUGGUCGUGCAAUAAGUGGACUGCUGUCGAGAUCUCCAAAAUCAUUUAAAACAUCAUAGUCAUAAACCUAUCCCACUCCUCAGGAUUUACGGCUCCAGUUCCUCUCAAAUGAAGCAACUCGUCCUCUUUGUAGCUACACAAUGCUGCUGGAGUUUCACUAGGAAGCCAAGCAUACUUUCAAAAGUUCUUAUAUAGGUAAAGAUCUUAUAAUUUGAUAUUUUAUUUAACAUUGGAUACUUAUGAAAACCAGAAGCUCCUGUUCAUAUUACUUUUGCUUCUGAGGAUAGAAAUAAACCUGACCAAUAAGGUUACUGCCUGUCAUGGAAAACAUAUUUCUCAUUCAAGUAAUGAGAGAGUCAUCAAGCAUAAGCAUAGUAGCUAUAACCAAAGGCCAAAUAUGACACCUAAGAAUAUAUAUGAAGAGUCAGUACCUGGUAGCGCAACUGAGGUAUCUAAUGAUCGUACACAUGUUAUUGUUAAUAGUGUUUCAUGAACUGACGCUCAUGAAGUUCACUUAAAUGAUGAAUCAGACAUGGCCAAUAAUGCCAAGCAUGCGGUCAAUUCUUCCUCGCAGCCUACAACAUAAUAGGACGAACAAGAACAAGCAGAAGCGUGAUAGUUUGAUGGUCGAGUUAUUAACUGUUGGAAACCUCUACUACGAUAUGAAGGAUCAUCCAAAAACAAACUCUUUAUCCCAGUAGGCUAAGGUCCACGUACAGUCUACACUCAUUUCACGGGUUACUUCUGGUGCCACAAAGCAAAAGCCUGUUAUCCGGCAGGCGAGCUUUCCAUUGAAUCUUAGUCUUUGUAGUUUGACUAUAUUGUUCCUGCAACUUCAUUGUAAAGUUUUUGAAGGAUGUAAUAAGAUGGAUCCUACCUACUUAGUUCGGACGAAGUAGAUAGAUCAAAGGAAUGGAAUCCAGGUGGUUCUUAUGCCACUUUUGAUGGUCUCGGAGAUAGAUGGAAAAGUUAAUUCGUUGGCCGGGGUAAUUUCCUUCCCACUUCGAGGCAUAUUAUUCUGGAUCCCUGGGAACAGGUCUUAGAGAAGUAGAUGGCGUGGCUCCACUGGGAGAAUCAUUCUUGAGUUCAGGAGGAAUUACCAUGUCAGAAUUGAUAAUCGGGCUGGUACUACCAGAUACUGGUUUUAACUAAACAUGGAUUUCCUCCACGGUGCUGGAGUUUGAGGUCAUACUUUCAUCAUCAUUCUCUGCAGAAAUUAUAUUUGAAGUGUGUACAUCUGUAGUACAAUAGGCUGGUGAAAAGCGAGAGUUCUGCUGCUCAGAAACUGGAUAUUCAGAAACACCUGAACCAAUUGCUAACAAAACUGAAUCUGGAGAACGACUCUUCCUUCCUGAUACAUUUGGGGAAGGAGAGCUUUCCGGCUGACCUGAAACUGCCUUAUUAGCUACAAGGGAAUCAACCAUCUUGCGAGGGUAUCGAUGCAGAGGUUUCUUCUUUGGCCGAGGAGAAGAGACUUUCGGUCCCGACCAUCGUCCAAUAGUGGAGUUUGCUCUUCAUAAUAUCCAAACAAUGAAGCUUUGCCAGAAGAUUCAGCAGCAAUGUUUUAACACGAACAAAGAAGAUUUGCAGAAAAAUGACAAUACAAAUGAACGUGAUACCCACAAUAAACAAUCGACAAAAUGCAACGCCACAGCAGAUGCGUUAUCAGUGGCAGGGAAUACCGACGAAGCUAAAAACAAGCGUGUCAGAGGUGCCAAUGAUGGAGAUCAACUGAAAAACAGAGGUGUUAAAGUAUCCAUCUCUGCAGAAGUAGACAAGCAGAAGAACAAGAAAGGUAAAAAGCUGAGAGGGGCAAAACAACAGCUAAAAGAGAAUGAAGAAGCAACCAACCACAGCUCCGGUAGUGAAAGUUCCGAUAAUACUGCCCUCUAGGUUGGACGUAAAGAAGAUGUUGUAGUGAGAACAAA